rnacentral:rRNA from 1 species
GCUUUGCGGCACGAGUUGUAGAUUGCAGGUUGGAGUCUGUGUGGAAGGCGGUGUCCAAGUCCCUUGGAACAGGGCGCCCAGGAGGGUGAGAGCCCCGUGGGAUGCCGGCGGAAGCAGUGAGGCCCUUCUGACGAGUCGAGUUGUUUGGGAAUGCAGCUCCAAGCGGGUGGUAAAUUCCAUCUAAGGCUAAAUACUGGCGAGAGACCGAUAGCGAACAAGUACUGUGAAGGAAAGAUGAAAAGCACUUUGAAAAGAGAGUGAAACAGCACGUGAAAUUGUUGAAAGGGAAGGGUAUUGCGCCCGACAUGGGGAUUGCGCACCGCUGCCUCUCGUGGGCGGCGCUCUGGGCUUUCCCUGGGCCAGCAUCGGUUCUUGCUGCAGGAGAAGGGGUUCUGGAACGUGGCUCUUCGGAGUGUUAUAGCCAGGGCCAGAUGCUGCGUGCGGGG